GCAUGCAAGUCGUACGCGAAAGGGUCCUUCGGGGCCUGAGUAGAGUGGCGAACUGGUGAGUACAAGGUGAAUGACGUGCCUCGAAGUGGGGGAUAACUUCGCGAAAGCGGAGCUAAUACCGCAUGGUCUUUCUUAUUUAAGGAUGGGAAAGUAAAGCAGCAAUGCGCUUUGAGAUCGGUUCACCUCCCAUUAGCUUGUUGGUGGGGUAACGGCCCACCAAGGCUGCGAUGGGUAGCUGGUCUGAGAGGAUGGUCAGCCACACUGGGACUGAGAUACGGCCCAGACUCCUACGGGGGGCAGCAGUCUAGAGGCUUCGACAAUGCCCGAAAGGGUGAUCGAGCGACGCCGCGUGCGGGAUGAAGGGCUUCGGCUUGUAAACCGCUUUUCCUUGGGAAGAAGGUCCUGUUCGUGAAACAGGAAUUGACGGUACCAGGGGAAUAAGCCCCGGCUAACUCCGUGCCAGCAGCCGCGGUAAGACGGAGGGGGCAAGCGUUGUUCGGAAUUAUUGGGCGUAAAGGGCUCGUAGGCGGAUCCGCCAGUUUGACGUGAAAUCUCCACCGCUCACCGGGGGAGAGGUCGUUGAAUACUACGGAUCUGGAGUUCGGCAGAGGACCAUGGAAUUUCGGGUGUAGCGGUGGAAUGCGUAGAUAUCCGAAAGAACACCGGUGGCGAAAGCGGUGGUCUGGGCCUGAACUGACGCUGAGAGCGAAAGCCAGGGGAGCAA
rnacentral:rRNA from 1 species